CCGCCCCCGGCGCCGGCACGCGGACCCGAACGAGGCGACAAGGUCGGUCCUCCCCCGCCGGGCCUUCCCCGCGCUCCCCGGCGCCCCCAGCCCGCUGACCCCCGGCCAGGCAGGCCCGCGGGGGAGGCAGGACCGGAGCCCUGAGGCCCUGGCCGGCCUCGGGGUUGAGGCUCAGCUCGGGAUAAGUGAUCUUUGGGGCCCGCAGAGGACGUCUCCCCAAGACCCAGUGGCAACCGGGUGGCACGUACCUGCCUCUUCUUGGAGUAUGGACGAGUCGAACCGGGCACAAGCAUGGAGCUGCGGGUGAGUCCCGGCUGGCGCUGGCGCGGCGCAGUGAGCACCAGCUGACGAAGAGGGCUCCCCGGCCUCGGCUCCUGCCUGACUCUCUCCCACCUCCGCCGGGGGCCCAGAAGGGACCUCCCCGGGAAAUCGGCGCCACCCAGCGGGCAGCCGCCUCAUCGCGCCUGGGCCGGCAGAGCCACACCCCGCGUCUCGCGUCACUGAGUCGCGUCACGGCUAUUGGCUUGUUCCUACUGUGGCGUCAUUAGAGCCCGGCCUCCGGCUGGGGCCACCCAGGCAACCGAUAUACACAGAGAACCACGUGGAGGAAAAGCACGCGAGUUUGGAGCGGGUGGAGCAGGAACAGAGGUGGACUGGAAUGUCACACGACGGGGCAGCUGGAAGGGCACCACUGAGUUCAGUACUUCAAAAUUGCCGUGCUCUACCUCUCCCCAGUGCACAAAAACACUCUCCACACCAAGCUGCUGCUGCUGGGGGAUGGAGGGAUGGCGUCAGCGAUUCAAGACUGUUUUUCCUACCUG
rnacentral:lncRNA from 10 species